GACAUGGAGAGCUUUCUGUGAAGCCGGGCUGUAAGGCAUCCGGUGGAGAGAUCAGAAGCGAGAAUGUUGACAUGAGUAGCGACAAACAGGGUGAGAAACCCUGUCGCCGAAAGUCCAAGGGUUCCUGCUUAAAGCUAAUCUGAGCAGGGUAAGCCGGCCCCUAAGGCGAGGCCGAAAGGCGUAGUCGAUGGGAACCAGGUUAAUAUUCCUGGGCCAGUGGGAUGUGACGGAUCGCAGAUGUAGUUUGCCCUUAUCGGAUUGGGUGGGCUGCUGAGCGGUUCCAGGAAAUAGCCCCACAUCAGACCGUACCCUAAACCGACACAGGUGGACUGGUAGAGUAUACCAAGGCGCUUGAGAGAACCACGUUAAAGGAACUCGGCAAAAUGCCUCCGUAAGUUCGCGAGAAGGAGGCCCCAUAUGUACGCAAGUAUGUGUGGGGGGCACAAACUAGGGGGUGGCGACUGUUUACUUAAAACACAGGGCUGUGCGAAGCCGUAAGGCGACGUAUACAGUCUGACGCCUGCCCGGUGCUGGAAGAUUAAGAGGAGGGGUGCAAGCUCUGAAUAGAAGUCCCAGUAAACGGCGGCCGUAACAAUAACGGUCCUAAGGUAGCGAAAUUCCUUGUCGGGUAAGUUCCGACCUGCACGAAUGGCGUAACGAUCUCCCCGCUGUCUCUAACGUGGACUCAGCGAAAUUGAACUGUGUGUCAAGAUGCACACUACCCGCGGUUAGACGGAAAGACCCCAUGAACCUUUACUCCAGCUUUGCACUGGUAUCAGGAUUGUGAUGUGCAGGAUAGGUGGUAGGCAUUGAAGCGGGGACGCCAGUCUUCGUGGAGCCUCCCUUGAGAUACCACCCUUCGCCAUCUUGAUAUCUAACCGCGGCCCGUUAUCCGGGUCCGGGACCCUGCAUGGUGGGGAGUUUGACUGGGGCGGUCGCCUCCCAAACAGUAACGGAGGCGCGCGAUGGUUGGCUCAGACCGGUCGGAAAUCGGUCGUUGAGUGCAAUGGCAGAAGCCAGCCUGACUGCAAGACUGACAAGUCGAGCAGAGACGAAAGUCGGUCAUAGUGAUCCGGUGGUCCCAAGUGGGAGGGCCAUCGCUCAACGGAUAAAAGGUACUCUGGGGAUAACAGGCUGAUGAUGCCCAAGAGUCCAUAUCGACGGCAUCGUUUGGCACCUCGAUGUCGGCUCAUCUCAUCCUGGGGCUGGAGCAGGUCCCAAGGGUACGGCUGUUCGCCAUUUAAAGAGGUACGUGAGCUGGGUUUAGAGCGUCGUGAGACAGUUCGGUCCCUAUCUGCCGUGGGUGCAGGAGACUUGAGAAGAGUUGACCCUAGUACGAGAGGACCGGGUUGAACGAACCACUGGUGGACCAGUUAUCGUGCCAACGGUAGUGCUGGGUAGCUAUGUUCGGACAGGAUAACCGCUGAAGGCAUCUAAGCGGGAAGCCCCCUUCAAAACAAGGUCUCCCUUGAGGGCCGUGGAAGACGACCACGUCGAUAGGCCAGAGGUGUAAGUGCAGCAAUGCAUUCAGCUGACUGGUACUAAUUGCCCGGAAC
rnacentral:rRNA from 1 species